rnacentral:rRNA from 1 species
ACGGCUCAGUAACACGUAGUCAACAUGCCCAGGGGACGUGGAUAACCUCGGGAAACUGAGGAUAAACCGCGAUAGGUCAUUUCUUCUGGAAUGGGUAAUGACCCAAAUCUACAUGGCCCCUGGAUUGGACUGCGGCCGAUCAGGCUGUUGGUGAGGUAAUGGCCCACCAAACCUGUAACCGGUACGGGCUCUGAGAGGAGGAGCCCGGAGAUGGGCACUGAGACAAGGGCCCAGGCCCUAUGGGGCGCAGCAGGCGCGAAACCUCUGCAAUAGGCGAAAGCUUGACAGGGUUACUCUGAGUGAUUUCCGUUAAGGAGAUCUUUUGGCACCUCUAAAAAUGGUGCAGAAUAAGGGGUGGGCAAGUCUGGUGUCAGCCGCCGCGGUAAUACCAGCACCCCGAGUGGUCGGGACGUUUAUUGGGCCUAAAGCAUCCGUAGCCGGUUCUACAAGUCUUCCGUUAAAUCCACCUGCUUAACAGAUGGGCUGCGGAAGAUACUAUAGAGCUAGGAGGCGGGAGAGGCAAGCGGUACUCGAUGGGUAGGGGUAAAAUCCGUUGAUCCAUUGAAGACCACCAGUGGCGAAGGCGGCUUGCCAGAACGCGCUCGACGGUGAGGGAUGAAAGCUGGGGGAGCAAACCGGAUUAGAUACCCGGGUAGUCCCAGCUGUAAACGAUGCAGACUCGGUGAUGAGUUGGCUUAUUGCUAACUCAGUGCCGCAGGGAAGCCGUUAAGUUUGCCGCCUGGGGAGUACGGUCGCAAGACUGAAACUUAAAGGAAUUGGCGGGGGAG